GGGCAGUUGAGGGAAAUCUCGGAGGAGGUUACCUGCGAUCAAACUGGGGCUGCGUAGUGUUAGGGUCAGGCAGCUUUGAAGUGGAAUCCGGAUCCGCCACUCUCGCUGCGUGAUAUUGGGCAUGCCAUCAAAGCGCUCUCAACCGAACGUCUCGGGAAUUUUCUGGGAAGUUAAGAAUUUCCAAUAAAUCUUGGACUACUCUAAAAUGCACCAGAAAUUACGUGGUCACACUCGUGCAGUGAAAGAAGGCUUUGGCAGUAGCAUAAGACAUUAAGCAGAAGUAGGAAAUGCAGUGAGGAAGAAGUUGUAAUGUUUUCAACAGCUGCCACUAUGGAUCUAGGAUGAGAGCUUUCCACAUGUUGUUAAGAAUGAGAGACAGAUUACUCCAAGGUAGUAACUCCGGAACAAUGAAGGAGGAAGAAUGAAUGAGUUGCGCCCUGAAGAUGGUGGGCUCUCCUUUAUGCAUGAUCAUCACGAUCUCUCUGCAAUGUCUGUCCUGUGACCUCGUGAGGUGUGCAGCGUCAUGCCAGACAUCUGUGUUUGGAUGGCCCUCUGGCUCCUCCACAAUUACUGCAGAGUCAGAAGUGGAAUUUCCGCCUGAUGUUUUAUGUCAAAAUCAGUAUGAAAGACUGCAGCAUGCUGAGUGAGCUUUCCGUUCUCGCUGAGAUGCAAUGCAGGGUCCACCCUCUGCAGGCCACAAUUUUGCCUGGAGGCAAAGCAUUCAGUCUUUCCAUUGGCCUGACAAUUUGAGCCAAGCUUUGAGGCCAACAGACAAAAUGCACUAGCAACUGGAGAGGGCCUGCCUGGUGGCCCUCCCUGUGAGAAGGUAUUCUUCCUGCUCCAUUGACAUCAGGCUUAUUAGCCAUGUUUCUGGAUUUGGUCCAUUUCAUGUGAGUGAAAAUGAUAAUUGCCGCUUCCAGAUAAAAACUUUAAGUGCCAUCCUCUGAUUCUGACAUUUCUCGUGUGCCUCUACCAUGAUUCUGGUGUGCCACAGCUCAAGGUUGUUCCUUUGGUCUUGAUUCUAGCAUAAAGAGAACAUGGAGCAGGGCUGCAGCUGAUCUUCAAAGGGCAUGAACACAAGCCAGAGAGAAGCCGUUAUUGUUGUAAGCCCUGAAGAUUUGGGGGAUAUUAUUGCAACACAACUCAGCCCAAGCUGACUAAUACAACAAGUUUCUAUGUAUACAUGGAAAUGUAUGUAAUCUUAGCCUCAAAAAAAAAAAAAAGAAAAAAAGAGUAUCUGAAAAUCCCAGGAUACUCGGGGCUCAUGGUGCGUAGUCAAUGAAAUGAUUAGCUCUCUUUCUUCAUCCUUCCCUCUCCAAUCUUUUCUUUUCAUUCUCCUUCAUCUCAUUCUCCUUCUCUCUGUGAUUUACAAAGCUGGUCAUGGAAAAAAAAACAUAGGAGUCAGAAGGCUUCGAUUCUAGGUUCAUAUGUAUGAGAUUUUUUGGAAAAAACUCAUACUCUCAAGGAGUCUCAGUUUCCUCAUCUUCAAGUGGGGAUAAU
rnacentral:lncRNA from 1 species